rnacentral:sRNA from 1 species
AAACACACAAGCUGGCACAAACCCUGCAACAGCCUAAGCAAUUAAUAAGGUACAGCCUUCAACGAUGAAAGCUGCACUUCCCGAUAGAACGGGACUUGGACAAAGGCGUCCUGCUAGGUGACUAGCGGGACGCC